GCAAGUCGAGGGGUAACAUUGGAGCUUGCUUCAGAUGACGACCGGCGCACGGGUGCGUAACGCGUAUAGAAUCUACCUUAAACUAAGGGAUAGCCUUUGGAAACGAAGAUUAAUACCUUAUAGUAUGUUGUAUUGGCAUCAAUAUAGCAUUAAAGAUUACGGUUUGAGAUGACUAUGCGUUCUAUUAGCUAGAUGGAGUGGUAACGGCACCCCAUGGCGACGAUAGAUAGGGGCCCUGAGAGGGGGAUC
rnacentral:rRNA from 1 species